GAGAAUGAUGAGGACAUUCUCUAACGAGUUUCUUGUAUCUUUCCCAAGCUUGACUAGGAGUCUCACCAUCUCCUUGUUGAAAUCCAAGAAUCUGGCUCCUUAGUGC
rnacentral:snoRNA from 1 species